AUGCAGGGAAUCAAGAAAUUUCAUUGGCAUUUUCAGUUUCAGAUUGGAAGCAAGGAGAUGGUUACUUUUGCAAAAUAUAGUUGGAAAAAACUUAAGUUUUCACACUUUAUUCCAAAUUGGCUUUUCAGUAGUUCAUGUGCAACUAAGGCAACAAUUUGCCAAAUCUAUAUAUUCCAUUUGGUUUUUUACAACACAGAUCCAAAAAAGCAAAGUAUUUUAAGAUAUAAUAACGUUAGAAAAGUAAACAAGAACUUAAAAAAUAAUGAUAAAUAUGAUAACCUUAAUUUGGGAAGUUGGAAUCCAAGUCCCUUUCAUCAGGAGAAAUGCUUAUCUUAUACACAAAGGAAAACCAAGUUAGUUAAGUGA